ensembl:lncRNA
AUGGUUAGUGGUUGGGUAGGUAAAAAUAUGCCUACAUCUUACGCCUCCGUAGUGAACAAUGCAAAUAAAAAAAAAAAUUUAAGUGAUAUAAAAACGACCGAAGUGGAACAAAAUACCCAUGUAAGUGCACAACAAGUGCCAUUGAGUAAUGAUCAUCAAGCGUUAGUUGAAGAGAAGAAGGACAAAAAUGACGAAAACGAUAAAACUGAAAAAGAUGACAAAAGUAAUAAGAACAAAAAAAAUAAUAAUAAAUCUCAUUUGACGAGCACCAAACAGAAAGAAACGCCCAAACUAUGGGUAUCUGUCAUAACUAAAGGAACAACCCAGGGAAAUAACAUGAAAGACAUUAAGAACGAAACAAGUGAUGGGGGAGGUGACCAUUACAAUAUAACAAAAGCAGAUAAACUUAGUAUCAUGGAGAUGAAAAAACAUAAAGAUAAUGACACAGUUAUGAUGAAUAAAAAGAUUGAACAAAAUAAUAUUAGCGCAUCGAAUAAAGGAACAGGACAUCAAAAAAAAAAAGAAAGUUUUCAAGAAUCACAUGCAUCAUCUAAUCAAAAUGUGCUUAAUGAAAUUAGUGGUGAUUAUAAUAAAUAUGUGAAAACUGUCAAUAAUAGUAGUAGUAGUAUUAGUAGUAGUAGUAGUAGUAUUAGUAGUUGUAGUAGUAAUAGUAGUAGUGGUCAUAAAUAUGAAGAAAAUAAAAAGGCAACAAAAGGUAUGGAAGUAGAUGAUUUACAUAAUAACAUGAAUACAAUAUUAAAUACGAAUAAUAUGAUGCAUAAAGGAAUUUUAUCAGAUGAGCAUAUGUAUAAUAAUCAUGUUGCUAGUGGUAGUAGUAAUACUAUUAAUAAAAAGCAUCUUUCAGAUGUAAUGUUUUCUAAAGUUAAAAAUGAUAGAUAUAUUACAAACGGAAAUAAUAGUAAUGUUAGUAAUAUUAGAAACAAAAAAGAAAAUGGUUCUAACAAUAAAUGGCGCGAGGAAGAAGAUUUAAAAACAGAACAAAAGGAACUCAGAGCAACAUACAGACAAAAAGAAUUAACUUUUGAAACAUCGGAAGAACAACAAUUAAUAAAAAAAAAACAGAUAAAGAAAAAAGGUGAUGAUAAAAAAGAUGAUUUUAACUUAUCAACAAAAGCAAUAACGUCAGCUGUAGUAUUACACCAAAUGAAAAAAAAUAAAAAUAAAAUUAUGAUGAACGUCAAUAAUGAAUAUAAUACUAGUGACAGUGGAAGUAGCUAUAGCCGCAGCAACAGCAGUUAUAGUAACAGUGACAAUAAUGACCAUAUGCGUUAUAAUAAUAAGAAGAAUGUCAAAAAUAUAAGUCCAGUUAGAAAUAAACAUAUAAAGUCAAGUGACACAUCGUCAUCAGCAUCAUCGGUAGUAUCAGUAUCUGAAUCAGGAUCAUCAUCCUUAGAUAGUCAAGAUGAAAAAAACAAAAACAAAAAAAAAAACAAAAAAGAUAAGAAUGUUCCUAUAUAUAUGCCUAAUUUAUCAUUAAUGUGUAAUAAUAUAAAUAAAAAAAUAUUUUUUGGUAAUAUAAAUUUUUCAAAAGAUCGUAUUGAUAAUAUAGAAGCGAAUAGACAAAUAAAAAAUAAUACUACUACUCAUUCGGUUAGUAAUACCAAUAACAAUAAUAGUAAUAGAGGUAUAAAUAUGAAUCAUAAAAAAGGUAAUGUGAGCAUUAGCACUAUGGGUAGCGGUAGGAGUGGUAGCAGUUACAGCAAUAGAAAUAAUAAUGAUAACAACAACUAUAGAGGUUAUAUAAAUAGACGCAACAGCAACAGUAAAAAUGUUACAAAUGUCAGUACGAAUAAUGCAAAUUACAAAAAAAACUACGCUCUCGAUUUAUCCGAUGUUGGUAUAGAUAACAAUCAUCAUAAUUAUAACAUUAGAAACAAUGUUAAUGCUAAUCUGGAUGGUAAUUAUACUAUGAGUAGUAGUAAUAACAAUAGAGGAGGUAAUCAUGGUAAUGGCAUAAUAAAUAAAACCAAUUAUAAUACUCAUGCACACGGUUCUACUACUAAUACUACUACUACUACUACUAGUAGUAGUACUACUACUGCUAACACUACAACAACCAGUAAUAAUAACAGAACAGCAAUUAAUAGUAACGGAGGAUAUACUACUAAUAACAAUUUUGGAGGACUUAACAAUGUGAAUAGCAAUAUCAAUAACAACAUCAAUAGAAAUGUUAACAGAAACUUCAAUUCCAUUGCUAAUAACAACACUAGUAAUAACAACAUGAGUAAUAACAACACUAGUAAUAACAACACUAGUAAUAACAACAUGAGUAACAACUUUAACCGAUAUAUGUUACAUGGAAGAGGAGAAGGGUUAAAUAACAGAAAUUACGAAAAUACGAAUGAUUUUAUCUAUAAUGAUGCUAGAAAUCAAAAAGCCAGAGAUGUAAGAAAUUUUGAAUUUAAAAAUAAAAAUCAAAAACGUGAAGAUCACAACACUCAUGAUAAUUUAUUUAAUGAUACUAGACACAAACCUCUUUUUUCAUCAUCAUCAUCAUCAAACAAUAAUAAUAAACAUAUGAAUACUAACAAAUCACAUAAUAUGUAUAACAAUAGUAACAACAUGCAUAAAAUGGGAACUACAACAAACUCGACACCAGUAGCGGCUUCUGUAUUACGUACAGGUGGUGGUAGUGCAUCAUCAAGCUAUCACAAUCAGCAACAUCAACAUCAACACCAGAGACAACACCACCAACAACAGACACAAACACGUAACUACCUAAACAAUACUAACAAUCAUAAUUAUAACAAUAGCAAUAAUAAUAAUAAUAAUAAUAGCAAUAAUAAUAAUAAUAAUAGCAAUAAUAAUAAUAGCAAUAAUAAUAAUAAUAAUAAUAAUAGCAAUACAAAACAUAUGCUAAACAAUCAUCAUCAUCAACAACCAUCAUCUUCUUCAUCUACUUCGUCCUCUAUGUUUUUAAAUCAAUCAGCACAAACACACACAUACAACCAACAAGAUAACAAUAAUAGUAAUAUUGCAACUAAUUCAGUUUUAAUGACUAGUAGUGGUAAAAACAAAUAUAUUUCAUCUAAUGCGUCAAGAAAUAAAAAUUUAGAUCAUGAGAUAGACGAUACUAAUUCGAUUCCCUUAAAUAAAAUAUUACAAAGCCAUCACAAUUCUAGAAACACAAAAAUGUCAACGAAUGUAAGUGAAAGUGGAAUCGGACUAACUAACAACAGCAGUAGUAACAACAGUAGUAGUAACAACAGAAGUAGUAACAACAACAGUAAUAGUAACAAUAACAGCAACAACAACAACAACAACAACAACAGUAGUAGUAACAACAACAGCAACAGCAACAACAACAACAACAGUAACAACAACAACAACAACAACAAUAGUAACAAUCGCAAUAACCGCUACAACCGCAACAAUCGCAACCGAAACAAUAGAAGCAACAGUAGUAGUACCAGUAGUAGUAUAAGUAGUAGCAGUAAUCAUCAUAACAAUGGAAAAGGUGGAACAACCAACAAUAUUAACAACAGAAGCUAUGUAAAUAUGAAUAAUAUAAAUAAUACCAAUACAAAUACUAAUAGUAGUAACAGUAACGGUGCACUUACCACCAAUAUACCAAUAAAAAACACAAAUACAGAUGUUAAUAACAAUAUGAAUAUAUUAAAUAUGAGUAUGAAUAAUAUGAAUAAUAACAGCUUAUAUAAUUCGUAUACAUCUCCUCCUGGAUUAGCAAACCAAUUUAAUUAUUCUUACACGGGCCUGUCAUAUCCAUAUAACAAUAUGCAUUAUAACGGAUAUACCACACAGACAUUAGUCCCACAGUAUGGUUUAAUGAAUAAUCACUAUAGCAAAAACAAUAGCUUACAUAACAACAAUUAUAAUUAUAAUAUAAAUUAUGAUAGUUACGAAGAAAAUAAUCUGUAUGCACAUAAUAAUAGUAAUAUGCACAUGAAUAACUAUGUUAAUUAUAUGAAUGUUAAUGUAAAAAAAAACCAACUGAAUAACAACAACAACAACAAUAACAAUAGCAACAACAACAGUAGCAAUAACAAUAGCAAUAGUAAUAGCAAUAGCAAUAGCAAUAGUAACAAAAAUAGCAAUAAUAAUAACUAUGGCAAUAAUAAUACAACAGAUGAUGAUAAUUUAAGUAACUUAGCUGAAAUGUCUAUUGCUGAAUCUGUAGCAGCUGUAAAUAAUCUUAAAAAUAAUACGUCCACGUAUAAUAAUAAUCUAAAUAGUUACAACAAUAAUAUGAUGAAUUUAAAUAAUACUUCUAUAGAUACUAACAAUAAUAACAAUAACGGCACAAGUAAUAGUACAAAUGUUACUAGUACUACAAUUAACAACAACACAAUGAAUAAUAAUAUGGGCUUAAAUACGAUGAACAACAUUAAUUCUAAUUUGAACAUACCAUGUGGUGUUAAUAAUGUUAGUAUUACUAGUAGUAAUAAUAAUGUUACUAAUACAAAUAACAGUUCAGCUAGUACUACUAAUACGACUGGUAGUGGUGUUAAUACUACCAACAAUACUACUACUUCGUGCGAAUUAAAAAACAAACAACAUUUAGGUAAAAACACGAAUGACAUACAACUACAAUCACAACAACCUCUUAUACAAUCGAUGAAACAAAACCAAAACUACCAACAACAAAGCAAAAAUAAUAACAGUAAUAACAAUAAUAAUAAUAAUAAUAAUAAUAAUAAUAAUAGUGGCAGUAGUAGUAGUAGUAGUAGUAGUAGCAGUAAUGAUACCAUUAAUCAUAAUCAUCAACACAACCAAAGUAAAUAUACAUUAUCACAACAUCAACAAACUUUAUCAAACAAUAACACAAACAAAAGCGGAAGUACUGGAAGCAACGGAAAUAAUAACAACACAAACCAAUAUUUACAAACCCAAGUAAAUGGUAACAACAAUUCACAAAUUACAGCAUCAUCGAACACAUCAUCAUUAACAGGAAACAUGGAAGCGAAUAACACAAACACAAAUGAUAGUAUAUCACAAAAUAAUCAAAAUAACUAUGUAAAUAAACAACAACUAUAUCAUCAUGAUAAUAAUUAUUAUAAUGUAAACUCAACUAACUUUAAUGUACCACCUGGUUUUAACAUCUCACAAGAUAAAGAACAAAAUAAUAAUUAUCUUAAUAACAGUGCCGUAACUGCCAAUAAUACAAACUCAAAUGUAGCAGCUUAUCGAAGCAAUUGGAAUAAUCUUAACGAAAAGGGUUUGAACCAUUACAACUUGAAUUAUAACUAUAAUAGGAAUAAGACGGGAUUUAAUUACACCAGCAACUUAAACUAUAGUAAUAACAGCGGAUAUAAUGGCACCCGAGAUAACAGUAGUAGCUUUUUUAAUUAUAANNNNNNNNNNNNNNNNNNNNNNNNNNNNNNNNNNNNNNNNNNNNNNNNNNNNNNNNNNNNNNNNNNNNNNNNNNNNNNNNNNNNNNNNNNNNNNNNNNNNGGAUAUAAUGGCACCCGAGAUAACAGUAGUAGCUUUUUUAAUUAUAACAAUUAUAACUACACUUUACCAACACCACCUGGACUGCAAAAUUAUUAUCAAAACACGCAAUACCAACAACAAAGCAAUUACAGUAAUCGAAAUUACAACUACACUGGAUACAACAACAAUUUAUCGAUGUGGAGUAAGUUAAAACAAAUAUGAAAUGUGUGAGCUAUACCUGAAUACAUGCACAUAUAAUGUCCUCAUGUAUGUAUGUUUCCUUGUGCAUAUAUAUAUCUCUCUCUCUCUCUCGCUCUAUAUAUAUAUAUAUAUAUAUAUAUAUAUAUAUAUAUAUAUAUAUAUAUAUAUAUGUAUAUGUAUAUAUCAAACUACAUGAAAACACAAAAUAUAAAAAAGGAUUGUAUGUUUAUAAAAAUGAAUUAAAAUAU